rnacentral:rRNA from 1 species
GUGCGAAAGUUGAAGUGAAUCUCUGGGCUACUCAGAGAUGCUCUCAAACCUCGUGCUAGAAUGCGAGAGAGGCAGUGGAUUGCACGUGUAGCGGUGAAAUGCGAGAUUAUUGCAGGAACACCGUGCGAAGGCGGCUUGCUGGAUCGCAACUGACGCUGAGGAACGAAAGCUAGGGGAGCAAACAGGAUUAGAUACCUUGGUAGUCCUAGCCUUAACGAUCAGAACUUGGGGUGCAUCCCGUUGGGGGUGCGUCUCGUAGCUACGCGUUAAGUUCUGCGCCUGGGGAGUACGGUCGCAAAGACUGAAACUCAAAGGAAUUGACGGGGGCCCGCACAAGCGGUGGAACAUGUGGUUCAAUUCGACGCAACGCGAAGAACCUUACCUGGGCUUGAACUGCACCGGACAAAGGUAGAAAUACCUCUCCCGCAAGGGCUGGUGUAGAGGUGCUGCAUGGCUGUCGUCAGCUCGUGCCGUGAGGUGUUGGGUUAAGUCCCGCAACGAGCGCAACCCUUACCCUUAGUUGCCACCCGCAAGGGGGAACUCUAAGGGGACUGCUCCGGAUAACGGAGAGGAAGGUGGGGAUGAGGUCAAGUCAGCAUGGCCUUUAUGUCCAGGGCUACACACGUGUUACAAUGCAUGGUACAGACCGUUGCAAACCCGCGAGGGGGAGCUAACCGGAAAAAACCAUGCUCAGUUCGGAUUGCAGUCUGCAACUCGACUGCAUGAAGCCGGAAUCGCUAGUAAUGGCGUAUCAGAACGACGCCGUGAAUACGUUCCCGGGCCUUGUACACACCGCCCGUCACAUCACGAAAGUGGGUUGUACUAGAAGUCGCUGAGCCAACCGCAAGGGGGCAGGCGCCCAAGGUAUGACUCAUGAUUGGGGUGAAGUCGUAACAAGGUAACC